GCAUUUGUGGUUUAGUGGUAAAAUUAGCCGUUGCCAUUCUGUAUCGGCUAGCCCCGGGUUCGAUUCCCGGCGAAUGCA
rnacentral:tRNA from 1 species